rnacentral:rRNA from 1 species
CACGUAGGGCGCAAGCGUUGUUCGGAUUCAUUGGGCGUAAAGGGUGCGUAGGCGGCGCCGUAAGUCGGAUGUGAAAUCUUCGGGCUCAACCCGGAAACUGCAUUCGAUACUGCGGUGCUUGAGGACUCGAGAGGAGAUCGGAAUUCACGGUGUAGCAGUGAAAUGCGUAGAUAUCGUGAGGAAGACCAGUGGCGAAGGCGGAUCUCUGGAGAGCUCCUGACGCUGAGGCACGAAGGCCAGGGGAGCAAACGGG